rnacentral:misc_RNA from 1 species
GUUCUGAGACAAAAAUAAUCAAUGCAUAAACAUGCAACAGAGGAAAACUGAAUGGCUAUCAAGCAGGCAUGAGGAUAGCAUAUUGCCAAAAAGAUAAAAUCAAGUAUGCCAAGCUAGUUGGCAAGAUUCCAAUUAUCAAUUGAAUUUAGGUGACGGGUCAUCUGAUAAAAAGUUGACUGGUGUUCCAGAAAUCCCUACUGCUGAUAAUAAUAGCAACAACAUGCAUCAACUAUAUGAAAACUGCAAGACACAUAACAAAACAAAAGAGAGUAAAUGAAAACUAAC